CCAGUGCACAGGGUCUGUUCCCCGAAUGGAAUUGUGAAAACAGUUCAUCAGAGGUGCAGCUGCUUCCAGAAAACUUACUCCCUGUGUGCUCUUAUGCUUGUAAUAAAUGAAGUGUCGUCACAGAGCGUCACAGUCGAAGCUGCUCAAGGAGACGCUGUGAUCUUACCGUGUUCAUCCAGUCGUUAUGAAAAGGACGUGUUCUGGCAAUACAGAGACACCAAGCCUGUGUAUGACAUCAUCGAGGGUAAAGAGAAUUUUCAUGACCAGG